AUUGAACGCUGGCGGCAGGCCUAACACAUGCAAGUCGAGCGGAUGAAGGGAGCUUGCUCCCUGAUUUAGCGGCGGACGGGUGAGUAAUGCCUAGGAAUCUGCCUGGUAGUGGGGGACAACGUUUCGAAAGGAACGCUAAUACCGCAUACGUCCUACGGGAGAAAGUGGGGGAUCUUCGGACCUCACGCUAUCAGAUGAGCCUAGGUCGGAUUAGCUAGUUGGUGAGGUAAAGGCUCACCAAGGCAACGAUCCGUAACUGGUCUGAGAGGAUGAUCAGUCACACUGGAACUGAGACACGGUCCAGACUCCUACGGGAGGCAGCAGUGGGGAAUAUUGGACAAUGGGCGAAAGCCUGAUCCAGCCAUGCCGCGUGUGUGAAGAAGGUCUUCGGAUUGUAAAGCACUUUAAGUUGGGAGGAAGGGCAGUAAGUUAAUACCUUGCUGUUUUGACGUUACCAACAGAAUAAGCACCGGCUAACUUCGUGCCAGCAGCCGCGGUAA
rnacentral:rRNA from 1 species